GCCUGGGUGGCUCAGUGGGUUAAGCGUCUGACUUCGGCUCAGGUCAUAAUCAUGAUCUCGAGGUUCGUGAGUUCGAGCCCCACGUCGGGCU
rnacentral:tRNA from 1 species